GAGCGCUCGCUCUGAUGCGGCAGGUUUCAGCGGUGCUUUUCCCUACAGGCCACUUGCUGCAGGGAACUGUGGUGUUGGGAUGUGCGCGUUUUCUCCUGCCUGGCUUUCACCGCAUCUUCCCAACGCCGAGAAGCACAAGAAGGGGGGAUGCUUCCCAUGCCACACAGGCGGAUGCUCCAAGCUCCUGAUCCCUGUUUUCCUCCCUCAAAGGAGGUUGCUGCUUCAAACUGGAACAAAUCCAGCAACUUUUCCAAGCGGAGCAACACUUGGGGAAUAUCACCCAGGCAGCGAGGAAACUCGGCUUUUAUUGCCACCAAUUAGGCGUGUGCUGGGAUAAAAAGGCUUCCAACGCUCCCCAUCCAGAGGGAGCUGCAUCCCUUUAGGACGCGCUCCUUGAAACAGCCCCUUUGCCUUUUUUAUUUACCAUAAACACAUUUCUGUUAAUGAAACCCUCGCCCACUUUGCAACCUCCCCCUUUCCCCUCCCCAAAGCUCAUAAAGCUCCGACUUUGCAUAUCUGAGCCCUGGGCUGCUGGGCUGGGUCCUUGGGGGUCCCAGGGUCAGGCUGGGGGCAGCGGGGUCAUUGUAUCGCCAUCAUGGGUCAAUAAGCAACUGGUCAGGCUCUCAAUCCACAUCAGGCCUUGAAGAGGACUGGGAAAUGGGAGAAUCCAUUCAUAAUAAUAAUAAACUUGUCAAUCAAUAACAGGCAGGAGAAAUACUUUGUAAAAGGUAAAAAAAAAAUAAUAAAAGUAA